rnacentral:rRNA from 1 species
UACGGAGGAUCCAAGCGUUAUCCGGAUUCACUGGGUUUAAAGGGUGCGUAGGUGGAAUGACAAGUCAGUGGUGAAAACCUGCAGCUUAACUGUAGAACUGCCAUUGAUACUGUUGUUCUUGAGUACAUUUGAUGUGAGUGGAAUGUGUCGUGUAGCGGUGAAAUGCUUAGAUAUGACACAGAACACCAAUUGCGAAGGCAGCUCACAAAACUGUAACUGACACUGAGGCACGAAAGCGUGGGGAUCAAACAGG